UACGUAGGUGGCAAGCGUUAACCGGAAUUAUUGGGCGUAAAGCGCGCGCAGGCGGCCUCUUAAGUUGGAUGUGAAAUCCCCCGGCUCAACCGGGGAGGGCCAUUGAAAACUGGGAGACUUGAGUAUAGGAGAGAAGAGUGGAAUUCCAGGUGUAGCGGUGAAAUGCGUAGAGAUGUGGAGGAACACCAGUGGCGAAGGCGACUCUUUGGCCUAUAACUGACGCUGAGGCGCGAAAGCGUGGGGAGCAAAAAGG
rnacentral:misc_RNA from 1 species